rnacentral:rRNA from 1 species
CGGGUAGGCGGCCACCGCAAGUCAGUUGUGAAAUCUCCGGGCUUAACCCGGAAAGGUCAACUGAUACUGCGGGGCUAGAGUGCAGAAGGGGCAACUGGAAUUCUCGGUGUAGCGGUGAAAUGCGUAGAUAUCGAGAGGAACACCUGCGGCGAAGGCGGGUUGCUGGGCUGACACUGACGCUGAACUGCGAAAGCUAGGGGAGCGAACG